CAUAUUAGAGUGAAGAUCUUUGAUAAUACAUUGCAGAGACUGAACUUUAUUUUCUAAAUGUAGAAUUUUUUUCUGUUAAACAUUUAUUUUUUUUUUUUUAGUUCAGUUAUAGUCGAUUGCCUGUACUAUUGGAAAAUUUCUCAGAGUUCUAGAUAGACUUCCAAAAUCUCCAAAAAGAGUUGAAUUUGAAAGGGUUCUUUUACUUUUGCUGAUGAUGAUGUAGAAUCAAACAGAUUCUGAAAAUG